rnacentral:tRNA from 1 species
GCCCCUGUAGUGUAAUGGAUAACACAAGGCCCUUGCGAAGCCUGAGAUCUCAGUUCAAAUCUGGGCAGGGGCA